AAAAUCCGUCGACUUUAAAAAUNGUGAGGGUUCAAGUCCCUCUAUCCC
rnacentral:tRNA from 1 species